rnacentral:rRNA from 1 species
CCUACGGGCGGCAGCAGUGAGGAAUAUUGGUCAAUGGACGCAAGUCUGAACCAGCCAUGCCGCGUGCAGGAAGACGGCUCUAUGAGUUGUAAACUGCUUUUGUACGAGGGUAAACGCAGAUACGCGUAUCUGUCUGAAAGUACCGUACGAAUAAGGAUCGGCUAACUCCGUGCCAGCAGCCGCGGUAAUACGGAGGCUUCAAGCGUUAUCCGGAUUUAUUGGGUUUAAAGGGGGCGUAGGCGGUCGGCUAAGUUAGAGGUGAAAUCCCGCGGCUCAACUUCGGAAUUGCCUCUGAUACUGUUCGGCUAGAGUGUAGUUGCGGUAGGCGGAAUGUAUGGUGUAGCGGUGAAAUGCUUAGAUAUCAUGCAGAACACCGAUUGCGAAGGCAGCUUACCAAGCUACUUCUGACGUUGAGGCACGAAAGCGUGGGUAGCAAACAGGAUUAGAUACCCUGGUAGUC